AUAUAUAUAUAUAUAUAUAUUAUCAUUCUCAUUUAUUCAUUCUGCCACAACCAUUGCCCAAAACUGUGUUCUUCCUCAGAGUGAAAUUAAACUCUUCCUCACUCCUUGCAAGGCAGAAUCCAUGCCUUCUUCUCCUUCUUCAUAGCCUUCCUUGUGCAGAGAUCUAGAUGACAAGAGCCUCUCUCAACCACACUCAAUGGCUCCACCUACACACCUCCAUCUCCAGCCUCAAGUAGUCAUCAAUGUCAGGGGAUGACCUUGGAAAACAAAGUGACCCAGUUUGCUGUGCCAUUGACAUAGAUCCAUUGAAUCUCCAACAUGUGCUGUUUUGCUUAUCCCCAUCUGGGCAACAAAUCCCAACUACCGGUAGCCUCCCUUGCCCCUGGAAUCAAGCGAAUGGACUUCGACGUGACAAUUUGUCAGAAUUGUGGUGAUAGAGG
rnacentral:misc_RNA from 1 species